CACCAGAAAUGUUUCUUCUUUUCAAUCCCCUAUUCCUUAUGGAAUUUCCUUUCCAAAGUCUGAGAUGCAGGAGGGCAAGUUUAGUCCUGCCUUAAGUGAAAACACCCUUGCCUAACUCUUUUGUACUGAAACUGGGAAUCCUGCAUUCAGAAAAGGGAAAUUCUUAUGGCUGCCAGAAGGUGUGAAGAGCAGUCAAGCCCUGAUACACAGAGCACACGGUAUCCAAGGAUGAUCAAGAGAACUCUUCGAUUUUAGGCGUAAUUUUUCCCUCCUGUCUGUUACCAUCGCUAAUAGAAGAAUUUUAUUAAGUUGUGGAACACAUAAAGUAGGCUUAGUAUCACCCCAAAAUCUAUGUAUAGCUUAUUUAAUAGCCUUCUACAACUGAUUUGUUCACAUGGGCUGUCUAGAGACCAAGGGUACACUUCAAAAUGCAAUAAUGCCACAGGCAGCUUUAGGUCUCUGACUGAAGAGCAAGAAUGGCUUAGCUUCAAACAGCCAUCCAGCACUCACACUGUCUGCCUCACUCUGCUCUGGCGUCUCAGCUGUAAGCUAGCUGCCUCCGACAUCUCCAAAGUCUACAGCACAAGGGCUCGAGGUAACUGGUUACUGAGUUUUGAUGCUACCUUUGCGCAUCUGUCAGUGCCCUGCUCUUCACUUUUUCUGCAGUUUAGAGCUUGGCCAGAUGAGCUCUGGCAGACUUGAUUCCAGCUGUCCACCCAUUCCUGUGCUGGAAGUGACUGAUGGAAGGGCAGUCAGAUAAGUCGUGUCUGCACCUCUGCUGUGCCUGACAGAUGUACUCUGACAUCUGAAACUGCAAGGAAAGAAAGCCUGUGUGUGUAUACCACAGUCUGAAACUGCCAGCUAAGGUGGGACACACAUCCUGCUCUACCACCCUUGCCAGAGAUGCUACAGCCUCGCUGGAAGAGCAGGACAACAACUGGGAACAAUCAAGCUCUAAACUAAUGCAAUAAUCUCUCCUUGAGAGGGAAGGGCCUUUGCAUUAAUUGCAUAUCAUCACUGUAGUAGGCUACAAAGCUAAAAUGGAGGAGGGGCCAGGAGCCCACUUUCGCGAAUGAUUUGUUAUUAAUCUUGUUGAAGCAUAUAAAUGUACAAAAGUAUCAACAGAGAAGGAAAAAAAACCUAACUCCACCCUGUCUAAUGUGGAAAAUCUACAUACAAAAAUAUAUGUAAUUUCAAUUCAAAGAUACAAAAUGGAUAUAAAAUAGAUCUCCAUCAAAUAUAGUAUGUGUUGCCUGCUCUCAAUGGGAUGGUAUUGCUUUGGAGAUAAAUAGGCUUUCUCCAUUUGUUCCUGUAAAAAGAGACAAAAAUCCCUCAAUUUAUUUAAGGGUUAACACCAACAAAUGUAUUAAAGAAAAAUAAAAAAGAUUCCUCAUUACUUUUCAGAUAGUUCAGCCCAGGAACAGUCUACCAAGUCAGUGCCAAUGACUUUAAAUGUGUGUGGAGCAUUAACCAAAAGAAGCCAAGGAAAAAGUGAAGAAAUACAAGAGGGGAAAAAAAAAAGCAGUCUUUUUUAUAAAUCAAAGAACACCAAACACUGACACUCAUGGAACCAACAAACCCUGCCUCCUUGUCCCCAGCAAGUCAGUAUGACUGAUGUUGUGGCGUCACUGCGUCAUUUCAAGUACUAAGACAGCAAAGAAGGGACCUAACUUGUUCUACACUGGAUUCCAACAGUAUGAUGCAUCAGCCUCAGAAAGACACCACUGCCUCCAAAAAGCCCAUUUGUGCAGCCAUCAUCAAU